GCUAGCGAUAAUCGGCAGUAGGCAAGUCAUACGGUUUUAACCCCUUUUUUCCCGUAAAAUCGUGAGUUCGAAUCUCACCGCUAGCA
rnacentral:tRNA from 1 species